UACGGAGGGUGCAAGCGUUAUCCGGAUUCACUGGGUUUAAAGGGUGCGUAGGUGGGCUAGUAAGUCCGUGGUGAAAUCUCCAAGCUUAACUUGGAAACUGCCGUGGAUACUAUUAGUCUUGAAUCUCGUGGAGGUAAGCGGAAUAUGUCAUGUAGCGGUGAAAUGCUUAGAUAUGACAUAGAACACCGAUAGCGAAGGCAGCUUGCUAGGCGAGUAUUGACACUGAGGCACGAAAGCGUGGGGAGCAAACAGG
rnacentral:rRNA from 1 species